AUGGUUUCCUGUUAUGAUUGAAUAAGAAAUUUAGUCUGCCCCCUGAUGUAUGUUAAAGGGCUGCAGUAUUUUGACUGUACAAAGGUAGCACAAUCAUUAGUUUAUUAAUUGUGGACGGGUAUGAAGGGCUAGACAAGUAAAUAUUGUUUCAUUAUUAUGAUUUGAAUUUUCUUUUUCUGUUAAAAGGUAGAAAUGUAAUUAAAAGACGAGAAGACCCUUUAAAGUUAAUAUGACUAUUUUUAUUAAUUUAUAUUAAGGAAAAUAAGGAUAAAAAUAAUUAUAUUUUACUGGGGCGGUAGGUAUAGAAACAAUACAAGUUAUAAAUGUGUUAAUUCUUUAGAUAGGUGUAUGAGCCCUUAAGUAGGCUAAUAAGAUAAGUUACUGAAGGGAUAACAGCGUAAUGUGCUUUAAGAGUUCAUAUUGACAAGCAUGUUUGCGA
rnacentral:rRNA from 1 species